rnacentral:lncRNA from 1 species
AUGUUUGUAAUCUUUCAUUCAAGCAUAUUCAAGCAUACCAGUUCUGUGCAGAGUUUUUUUCUGUUCACUUUGUGUGUGUGUGGUUUUUUUUUUUUCCAUCCCACUAAAACUUUCCAUGUGGUACUAGCUCAACUGUGUGUGACAUUCAGCCUGCUCGAAUACCUGUUUAGUUUAUUCAACUGCUUCAUUUACCCACAGAAUUCAUAUUGCUUUUACUUAAAAGAAAUUCAAAAUUCCUCAUCUUUUCUUACAAGAAGGUUUCAUGUUGUUUUAUGGGGGCAUAUUGGCUUCAGUAUAGAUUUUACCCCCUAGUUUGAUAUUUAUUCAUCUAUCAUCUAGACCGUGUUUUUGUUUUUUAAACAAUGAUAGUUGUUUUAUGGUAGGCUGGGUCAAAAAUAGUUUUCUGAUUCUUUUGAAAGUAACUAAACAUUACAGGAUACAAUUCAGAUUUCCAGGAAGGCCUAACAUUUAAAAAGAAAAAAAAAGGACAAAUAAAAUUAGUGUUUUUUUUUUCUUGGUCAUUUUAUACUUCGCUCUUUUUAUUCAUUUUAGGUUUAAAUGGUGUCUAGGUUUUAAAAAAUUAUAUUUUCAGAGUUUUCUGGUUUUUUUUUUCUGUUACUGCAAUAUGUAAUUGAAAUUGUCCUGUGAAUAAAGAACAUUAUUUCAUGUAAGAUGUUCAAUAGAAAAUCUGACUCUUAACCUGGAUGCUACAUCAGGGAUGUGUGUGUAUGUAUGUUCAGUUGCUAUAGUCAUGUCCGANNNNNNNNNNNNNNNNNNNNNNNNNNNNNNNNNNNNNUCUGUCCAUGGGAUUCUCCAGGCAAGAAUACUGGAGUGAGUUGACAUGCCUUCCUUCAGGGGAACCUUCUAGACCCAGGGAUUGAACCUGGGUCUCCAACAUCUCCUGCAUUGGCGGGCUAGUUUUUUACCAUUAGCACCACCUAGAAAGCCCCCCAAAGAUACCCCUUGUUGUUGUUCAGCCUCUCUGGCAUGUCUGACUCUUUGGCACCACAUGGACUGCCGCACGCCAG